rnacentral:rRNA from 1 species
AUUGAACGCUGGCGGCAUGAUUUACACAUGCAAGUCGAACGGUAACAGGCCGCAAGGUGCUGACGAGUGGCGAACGGGUGAGUAAUGCAUCGGAACGUGCCCAGUCGUGGGGGAUAACUACUCGAAGGAGUAGCUAAUACCGCAUACGAUCUAUGGAUGAAAGCGGGGGACCGUAAGGCCUCGCGCGAUUGGAGCGGCCGAUGUCAGAUUAGGUAGUUGGUGGGGUAAAGGCUCACCAAGCCAACGAUCUGUAGCUGGUCUGAGAGGACGACCAGCCACACUGGGACUGAGACACGGCCCAGACUCCUACGGGAGGCAGCAGUGGGGAAUUUUGGACAAUGGGCGCAAGCCUGAUCCAGCAAUGCCGCGUGCAGGAAGAAGGCCUUCGGGUUGUAAACUGCUUUUGUACGGAACGAAACGGCUCUGGUUAAUACCCGGGGCUAAUGACGGUACCGUAAGAAUAAGCACCGGCUAACUACGUG